rnacentral:rRNA from 15 species
GCUUACGGCCAUACCACCCUGAAGGCGCCCGAUCUCGUCCGAUCUCGGAAGCUAAGCAGGGUCGGGCCUGGUUAGUACUUGGAUGGGAGACCGCCUGGGAAUACCAGGUGCUGUAAGCC